GCAUUUUCUAUGUUUCAGUUACUCUCCAGUUAUGGUUUUCAUUUAGUUUUGCAAUGGCACUGAUGAACUUAUAGUGACAAUCAUGUCUGUUUUAGGCCAACUAUCACGUUCAACAAUCCAAAUGCCAAAAUAAAAUAUAGCAAGCAAGCCAAGUGUUAUAAAAUUCUGGGAUUUUCGUAAGCUGAAGUCCCACCCAGCUCAAGCUCAACCUCGCAUGGAGACAUCCAGCGCAAAGGUUCGAAUAUGGAGGAGUAAGACAGGCAGUUACUUGAAUCAUAAAUCGGCUUCUGUCAGUGGAAGAAGAGAAGCUACAUGUUCUAGCUUUGAGUAUAGACAACUGUGUGGUGAUGUCCCCUCAACUGCGCAAACAGACUCGCCUCAAACUUCAGCUGCUCUUUGCUCUCCACAGUCCACCUCACUUUACCAACCUUCAGGCGUCAACUCCGGAAGCAAAAGUAAAGAUGAGCUCUUCUCCAUCUUUUACGGAAGGAAAACGGUUGCAGAAGUCCCCAGAAGAUAAAAUGACGAGCCCGUCCACUGCUUUGAACCCAUCUUCCUCCUUGAAAAGAAGGUCCAUUAAAGAUUAUUUUGUUGUUGCUUCCUGAAAAUUGAGCGAUUUGUCCAUGUCUAGAGGAAAGCGGUUCAUCUUUGCUGCCGCAACCAUUCGUUUACAGGCUACAAAAACCUACAACUCAACAAUUUCCCAUUCAGUCUUCACCAGAAAAAGGAGAUGGAUGUUCCAACCGGAGGAUAAGCUCCUCGGUGCCAGAGGGUGAAGUGAAGAGUAUGUGCAUACAACCCCCAAAUUCUUACUUGCUGUGGCUGUAGAAACAUCGAAGGCGGCUGUGCUUGUGAAGUAUACAGCAUGUCAAGUACUGAGGGAGAUAUUGAACAAGAGUAGAGUACUCUUGUGAUAUCCCUCAUUUCUAUAGCAGAUUCAAUUUUCUUCUUUUUCUAAUUACGCUUGGUGAAGAAGCGCCACUUCCAAGGCCCGAAGUGAAACUCAAACUUUCACAAUGUUCAAGAGAGCGUGUGCUCUCUCUCUCGACACUCACACAUGCUAUAACUGUUAAGAACAAAUUCAUACAAGUAAAAAUCUUUUACAAACAACUAUUUGUUCACCGAAAGCACUUGCAGAAUCCUUGU